AGAGUUCGUAUCCGUGGCGUCAGGACGAACGGCUGGCGGCGUGCUUAACACAUGCAAGUCGAGCGAGGCCCAGUCCUUCGGGGUGGUGCCCUAGCGGCGAACGGGUGAGUAACACGUGGGCAACCUGCCCUCAGCUCUGGGAUAACUCCAGAAAUUGGUGCUAAUACCGGAUGUGACCGCUGACCGCAUGGUCUGGUGGUGGAAAGAUUUAUCGGCUGAGGAUGGGCCCGCGGCCUAUCAGCUUGUUGGUGGGGUAGUGGCCCACCAAGGCGACGACGGGUAGCCGGCCUGAGAGGGUGACCGGCCACACUGGGACUGAGACACGGCCCAGACUCCUACGGGAGGCAGCAGUGGGGAAUAUUGCGCAAUGGGCGAAAGCCUGACGCAGCGACGCCGCGUGAGGGAUGACGGCCUUCGGGUUGUAAACCUCUUCCAGUAGGGACGAAGCGCAAGUGACGGUACCUACAGAAGAAGCACCGGCCAACUACGUG
rnacentral:rRNA from 1 species